UCACUAGUAGAUGGACCUGCGUUGUAUUAGCUAGUUGGUGAGGUAACGGCUCACCAAGGCGACGAUACAUAGCCGACCUGAGAGGGUGAUCGGCCACACUGGGACUGAGACACGGCCCAGACUCCUACGGGAGGCAGCAGUAGGGAAUCUUCGGCAAUGGGGGCAACCCUGACCGAGCAACGCCGCGUGAGUGAAGAAGGUUUUCGGAUCGUAAAGCUCUGUUGUAAGAGAAGAACGUGUGUGAGAGUGGAAAGUUCACACAGUGACGGUAACUUACCAGAAAGGGACGGCUAACUACGUGCCAGCAGCCGCGGAAAUACGUAGGUCCCGAGCGUUGUCCGGAUUUAUUGGGCGUAAAGCGAGCGCAGGCGGUUUAAUAAGUCUGAAGUUAAAGGCAGUGGCUUAACCAUUGUUCGCUUUGGAAACUGUUAGACUUGAGUGCAGAAGGGGAGAGUGGAAUUCCAUGUGUAGCGGUGAAAUGCGUAGAUAU
rnacentral:rRNA from 1 species